rnacentral:snoRNA from 14 species
AUACUAUGAUGGUUGCAUAGUUCAUCAGAUUGAAUUCUGAAGAGAUGUAUCAUUGGUCUGAUGUAUCU